rnacentral:rRNA from 1 species
UACAGAGGUCUCAAGCGUUGUUCGGAUUCAUUGGGCGUAAAGGGUGUGUAGGUGGCGCGCUAAGUCGGGUGUGAAAUUUCGGAGCUUAACUCCGAAACUGCAUUCGAUACUGCGGUGCUUGAGGACUGGAGAGGAGACUGGAAUUUACGGUGUAGCAGUGAAAUGCGUAGAGAUCGUAAGGAACACCUGUGGCGAAGGCGGCCCCCUGGUUGGAUACUGACGCUGAUACGCGAAAGCGUGGGGAGCAAACAGG